CCUACGGGAGGCAGCAGUGAGGAAUAUUGGUCAAUGGGCGCGAGCCUGAACCAGCCAAGUCGCGUGAAGGAUGACUGCCCUACGGGUUGUAAACUUCUUUUAUAAAGGAAUAAAGUGAGGCACGUGUGCCUUUUUGUAUGUACUUUAUGAAUAAGGAUCGGCUAACUCCGUUCCAGCAGCCGCGGUAAUACGGAGGAUCUGAGCGUUAUCCGGAUUUAUUGGGUUUAAAGGGAGCGUAGAUGGGUUGUUAAGUCAGUUGUGAAAGUUUGCGGCUCAACCGUAAAAUUGCAAUUGAUACUGGCAGCCUUGAGUGCAGUAGAGGUAGGCGGAAUUCGUGGUGUAGCGGUGAAAUGCUUAGAUAUCACGAAGAACUCCGAUUGCGAAGGCAGCUUACUAAACUGCCACUGACGUUGAUGCUCGAAAGUGUGGGGAUCAAACAGGAUUAGAUACCCGGGUAGUC
rnacentral:rRNA from 1 species